rnacentral:rRNA from 1 species
AACGAACGCUGGCGGCAUGCCUAACACAUGCAAGUCGAACGAGACCUUCGGGUCUAGUGGCGCACGGGUGCGUAACGCGUGGGAACCUGCCCUUAGGUUCGGAAUAACUCCCCGAAAGGGGUGCUAAUACCGGAUAAUGUCUUCGGACCAAAAAUUUAUCGCAUUUGUAUGGGCCCGCGUUGGAUUAGCUAGUUGGUAGGGUAAAAGCCUGCCAAGGCGACGAUCCAUAGCUGGGCUGAGAGGAUGAUCAGCCACACUGGGACUGAGACACGGCCCAGACUCCUACGGGAGGCAGCAGUGGGUAAUAGUGGACAAUGGGCGAAAGCCUGAUCCAGCAAUGCCGCGUGAGUGAUGAAGGCCUUAGGGUUGUAAAGCUCUUUUAACCGGGAUGAUAAUGACAGUACCGGGAGAAUAAGCCCCGGCUAACUCCGUG